AGGAUGAACGCUGGCGGCGUGCCUAAUACAUGCAAGUCGAGCGGUAAGGCCCCUUCGGGGGUACACGAGCGGCGGACGGCUGAGUAACACGUAGGAACGUACCCCAAACUGAGGGAUAAGCACCAGAAAUGGUGUCUAAUACCGCAUGUGGUCUUCGGAUUAAAGCUUCGGCGGUUUGGGAACGGCCUGCGCAUGAUUAGCUUGUUGGUGAGGUAAAAGCUUACCAAGGCGACGAUCAUUAGCUGGUCUGAGAGGAUGAUCAGCCAGACUGGGACUGAGAACGGCCCAGACUCCUACGGGAGGCAGCAGUAGGGAAUUUUCCACAAUGGGCGAAAGCCUGAUGGAGCAACGCCGCGUGCAGGACGAAGGCCUUCGGGUUGUAAACUGUCUUUAUAUGUGAAGAUUAUGACGGUAGCAUAUGAAUAAGGAUCGGCUAACUCCGUGCCAGCAGCCGC
rnacentral:rRNA from 1 species